GAUGAACGCUGGCGGCGUGCUUAACACAUGCAAGUCGAACGGAAAGACCCAAACUUGCUUGGGUUCUCGAUUGGCGAACGGGUGAGUAAAACGUGUGGAAUCUGCCCUGCACUUCGGGGUAAGCCUGCGAAACUGGGGCUAAUACCGGGGAGGAUCACAUGUUGGGUGGGGUGGUGGAGAGUUUUUCGGUGUGGGUGGAGCUCGCGGCCUAUCACCUUGUUGGUGGGGUAAUGGCCUACCAAGGCGUCGACGGGUAGCCGGCCGGCGAGGGUGUACGGCCGCACUGGGCCCGAGCGACGGCCCGCACUCCGAAGGGAGGCAGAAGGGGGGAAUGCUGCACAAUGGGAGGCAGCCUGAUGCAGCAAGGCCGCGGGGGGGAUGACCGCCUUCGUGUUGUAAAAUCCUUUCGCUAGGGACGAAGCGUCAUGUGACGGUACCUGGAGAAGAAGCACCGGCUAACUACGUG
rnacentral:rRNA from 1 species